rnacentral:rRNA from 1 species
UAAGAAGUUGAGUGGCGGACGGGUGAGUAACACGUGGGUAACCUGCCUAAAAGAAGGGGAUAACACUUGGAAACAGGUGCUAAUACCGUAUAUCUCUAAGGAUCGCAUGAUCCUUAGAUGAAAGAUGGUUCUGCUAUCGCUUUUAGAUGGACCCGCGGCGUAUUAACUAGUUGGUGGGGUAACGGCCUACCAAGGUGAUGAUACGUAGCCGAACUGAGAGGUUGAUCGGCCACAUUGGGACUGAGACACGGCCCAAACUCCUACGGGAGGCAGCAGUAGGGAAUCUUCCACAAUGGACGCAAGUCUGAUGGAGCAACGCCGCGUGAGUGAAGAAGGUCUUCGGAUCGUAAAACUCUGUUGUUAGAGAAGAACACGAGUGAGAGUAACUGCUCAUUCGAUGACGGUAUCUAACCAGCAAGUCACGGCUAACUACGUGCCAGCAGCCGCGGUAAUACGUAGGUGGCAAGCGUUGUCCGGAUUUAUUGGGCGUAAAGGGAACGCAGGCGGUCUUUUAAGUCUGAUGUGAAAGCCUUCGGCUUAACCGGAGUAGUGCAUUGGAAACUGGAAGACUUGAGUGCAGAAGAGGAGAGUGGAACUCCAUGUGUAGCGGUGAAAUGCGUAGAUAUAUGGAAGAACACCAGUGGCGAAAGCGGCUCUCUGGUCUGUAACUGACGCUGAGGUUCGAAAGCGUGGGUAGCAAACAGGAAUUAGAUACCCUGGGUAGUCCACGCCGUAAA